UACGAAGGGGGCUAGCGUUGUUCGGAAUCACUGGGCGUAAAGGGCGCGUAGGCGGCCGAUCAAGUCGGGGGUGAAAGCCUGUGGCUCAACCACAGAAUUGCCUUCGAUACUGGUUGGCUUGAGGCCGGAAGAGGUAAGUGGAACUGCGAGUGUAGAGGUGAAAUUCGUAGAUAUUCGCAAGAACACCAGUGGCGAAGGCGGCUUACUGGUCCGGUUCUGACGCUGAGGCGCGAAAGCGUGGGGAGCAAACAGG
rnacentral:rRNA from 1 species